rnacentral:rRNA from 1 species
GACUGCCGGCUAAAAGUCGGAGGAAGGUGGGGAUGACGUCAAAUCAUCAUGCCCCUUAUGACCUGGGCUACACACGUGCUACAAUGGGCGGUACAAAGGGUCGCGAAACCCGCGAGGGGGAGCCAAUCCCAAAAAGCCGCUCUCAGUUCGGAUUGCAGGCUGCAACUCGCCUGCAUGAAGCCGGAAUCGCUAGUAAUCGCGGAUCAGCAUGCCGCGGUGAAUACGUUCCCGGGCCUU